GAUGAACGCUAGCGGCAGGCUUAACACAUGCAAGUCGAGGGGUAUAGUUCUUCGGAAUUAGAGACCGGCGCACGGGUGCGUAACGCGUAUGCAAUCUACCUUUCACAGAGGGAUAGCCCCAGAGAAAUUUGGAUUAAUACCUCAUAGUAUAGCAGUUUCGCAUGAAACCACUAUUAAAGUCACAACGGUGAAAGAUGAGCAUGCGUCCCAUUAGCUAGUUGGUAAGGUAACGGCUUACCAAGGCAACGAUGGGUAGGGGUCCUGAGAGGGAGAUCCCCCACACUGGUACUGAGACACGGACCAGACUCCUACGGGAGGCAGCAGUGAGGAAUAUUGGACAAUGGGCGCAAGCCUGAUCCAGCCAUGCCGCGUGCAGGAUGACGGUCCUAUGGAUUGUAAACUGCUUUUAUACAGGAAGAAACACUCCGACGUGUCGGAGCUUGACGGUACUGUAAGAAUAAGGAUCGGCUAACUCCGUGCCAGCAG
rnacentral:rRNA from 1 species